rnacentral:rRNA from 1 species
UGAUGUGAAAGCCCACGGCUCAACCGUGGAGGGUCAUUGGAAACUGGGGAACUUGAGUGCAGAAGAGAAAAGCGGAAUCCACGUGUAGCGGUGAAAUGCGUAGAGAUGUGGAGGAACACCAGUGGCGAAGGCGGCUUUUUGGUCUGUAACUGACGCUGAGGCGCGAAAGCGUGGGGAGCAAACAGGAUUAGAUACCCUGGAUAGUCCACGCCGUAAACGAUGAGUGCUAAGUGUUAGAGGGUCUGCCGCCCUUUAGAUGCUGCAGCUAACGCAUUAAGCACUCCGCCUGGGGAGUACGGUCGCAAGACUGAAACUCAAAGGACUAGACGGGGGCCCGCACAAGCGGUGGAGCAUGUGGU